rnacentral:rRNA from 1 species
UACGAAGGGUGCAAACGUUAUUCGGAAUCACUGGGCGUAAAGAGUGCGUAGACGGUAUGUUAAGUUUGUUGUUAAAGACUCUGGCCUAACCGGAGGUUUGCAAUGAAAACUGGCAAGCUGGAGGGUGAGAGAGAGAAGUGGAAUUCUCGGUGUAGAGGUGAAAUUCGUAGAUAUCGAGAGGAACACCGGUGGCGAAGGCGGCCAACUGGACGAAGACUGACGCUGAGACACGAAAGCGUGGGGAGCAAACAGG